CCGGACCCGGAGCACGCUGCCACCGUCCCACCGACGCUGGCCAAGGCCAAAGGACUGCUGGAGAGGAGGGGCUCCAACAACUCACUGACCAUCCAGGUGCAGCAAUCUACCGAGGACACGGAGACUAUCCGCUCCGCUGGGAUGGAAUGCCCGGAGGUGCAGUUUCUAACAUCGGCCGGCAACCGCCUCUCGCGGCGUCAGCUGAGGGAGACCGAGUGGAAUUCAUCCGCACUGCGCGCCGAGUUCUGGGACAUCCCGCUGAACUUCCCCGACCGGUGUCCCAUGCCGGGCACAGGUGCCAAUAACAGAUACAACACCGUUAUUCCG